rnacentral:misc_RNA from 1 species
GCAUUUUUAAGAAAUAAUGAUCCUAAGAAGUUAUUUCUCCACAGAGUGAAUCCAGCAUUCCACCUCAACGAAAACACUAGUUAAUACCACAGAACAGGGAAACCAAGAGCUGGUUUUACCAGCAAAUUCUGUGAUAAUUGGCUUUAACCAAACUCUGUCAAAACUGACACAGCUCAAAUUCUGAGCUUGAAUUGAAAUUGCACCAUCAAGGGUAAUACCCAAAAAAACAAAACCUUUCUUUCACUUAUCAAACAAACAAUAGAUAAACCCUAAACCCUAACUGAGAAAUUAACCACAAUAGCAU